rnacentral:rRNA from 1 species
GAGUUAGCUCUCUUAGCCAUGAUAGAGGGCGGCGUACGGCUCAGUAACAUGUGGUCAAUCUACCCUCAGGACGGAGAUAACCUCGGGAAACUGAGGCUAAUAUCCGAUAGAUAAUGGAUCCUGGAAUGGUUCAUUAUUCAAACGGCACAUUGCUCAUGCGCAGUGUGUUGCCUGAGGAUGAGACUGCACCCUAUCAGGUAGUUGGUGGGGUAACGGCCCACCAAGCCUAUAACGGGUACGGGCCCUGAGAGGGGGAGCCCGGAGAUGGGCACUGAGACAAGGGCCCAGGCCCUACGGGGCGCAGCAGGCGCGAAACCUCUGCAAUGCGCGAAAGCGCGACAGGGCCACCCCGAGUGCUAGCCGCUGAGGUUAGCUUUUCCUUAGUGUAGUAAGCUAAGGGAAUAAGCGGGGGGCAAGCCUGGUGUCAGCCGCCGCGGUAAUACCAGCUCCGCGAGUGGUCGGGACGAUUAUUGGGCCUAAAGCGUCCGUAGCCGGCCUAUCAAGUCUCUGGUUAAACCUCAAGGCUCAACCUUGAGAUUGCUGGAGAUACUGUUAGGCUAGGGGGCGGGAGAGGUUGAGGGUACUACACGGGUAGGGGCGAAAUCCUAUAAUCCGCGUAGGACCACCAGUGGCGAAGGCGCUCAACUGGAACGCGCCCGACGGUGAGGGACGAAAGCCAGGGGAGCAAAGGGGAUUAGAUACCCCCGUAGUCCUGGCUGUAAACGAUGCGGGCUAGGUGUUGGGUUGGCUUCGUGCCAACCCGGUGCCGCAGUGAAGACGAUAAGCCCGCCGCCUGGGAAGUACGGCUGCAAGGCUGAAACUUAAAGGAAUGGCGGG